GACGAACCGUGCGAACGUUGUUCGGAAUAACUGGGCUUAAAGGGAGCGUAGGCGGGCUACCAAGUCUGGGGUGAAAUCCCGCGGCUCAACCGUGGAACUGCCUUAGAUACUGUCGGCCUCGAGGGAGAUAGGGGCAUGCGGAACUAACGGUGGAGCGGUGAAAUGCGUAGAGAUGUGGAGGAACACCGAUGGCGAAGGCAGCCCCCUGGGCUAACACUGACGCUCAGGCACGAAAGCGUGGGGAGCAAACAGG
rnacentral:rRNA from 1 species